CCUACGGGCGGCAGCAGUGGGGAAUAUUGCACAAUGGGCGCAAGCCUGAUGCAGCCAUGCCGCGUGUGUGAAGAAGGCCUUCGGGUUGUAAAGCACUUUCAGCGGGGAGGAAGGCGUUAAGGUUAAUAACCUUGUCGAUUGACGUUACCCGCAGAAGAAGCACCGGCUAACUCCGUGCCAGCAGCCGCGGUAAUACGGAGGGUGCAAGCGUUAAUCGGAAUUACUGGGCGUAAAGCGCACGCAGGCGGUCUGUCAAGUCGGAUGUGAAAUCCCCGGGCUCAACCUGGGAGCUGCAUUCGAAACUGGCAGGCUAGAGUCUUGUAGAGGGGGGUAGAAUUCCAGGUGUAGCGGUGAAAUGCGUAGAGAUCUGGAGGAAUACCGGUGGCGAAGGCGGCCCCCUGGACAAAGACUGACGCUCAGGCGCGAAAGCGUGGGGAGCAAACAGGAUUAGAUACCCUUGUAGUC
rnacentral:rRNA from 1 species